GGGCGAAUAGCUCAGUUGGUUAGAGCGCCUGCCUUACAAGCAGGAGGUCACAGGUUCAACUCCUGUUUCGCCCA
rnacentral:tRNA from 1 species